GGAGAGGUGUCCGAGUGGUUGAAGGAGACGGUCUCGAAAACCGUUAAGCUGAAUUUUCGGCUUCCAGGGUUCGAAUCCCUGCCUCUCCG
rnacentral:tRNA from 1 species